CAGUCGCCACGGUAAUACGUAGGUGGCAAGCGUUGUCCGGAAUUAUUGGGCGUAAAGGGCUCGCAGGCGGUUUCUUAAGUCUGAUGUGAAAGCCCCCGGCUCAACCGGGGAGGGUCAUUGGAAGCUGGGAAACUUGAGUGCAGAAGAGGAGGGUGGAAUUCCACGUGUAGCGGUGAAAUGCGUAGAGAUGUGGAGGAACACCAGUGGCGAAGGCGACUCUCUGGUCUGUAACUGACGCUGAGGAGCGAAAGCGUGGGGAGCGAACAGGAUUAGAUACCCCUGUAGUCCCUGUCUCUUAUAC
rnacentral:rRNA from 1 species